AGAGUUUGAUCCUGGCUCAGGAUGAACGCUGGCGGCGUGCUUAACACAUGCAAGUCGAACGAAGCACUUUAUUUGAUUUCUUCGGAAUGAAGAUUUAGUGACUGAGUGGCGGACGGGUGAGUAACGCGUGGGCAACCUGCCUCAUACAGGGGGAUAACAGUUGGAAACGACUGCUAAUACCGCAUAAGCGCACAGUACCGCAUGGUACGGUGUGAAAAACUCCGGUGGUAUGAGAUGGGCCCGCGUCUGAUUAGCCAGUUGGCGGGGUAACGGCCCACCAAAGCGACGAUCAGUAGCCGACCUGAGAGGGUGACCGGCCACAUUGGGACUGAGACACGGCCCAAACUCCUACGGGAGGCAGCAGUGGGGAAUAUUGCACAAUGGGGGAAACCCUGAUGCAGCGACGCCGCGUGAGCGAAGAAGUAUUUCGGUAUGUAAAGCUCUAUCAGCAGGGAAGAAGAAUGACGGUACCUGACUAAGAAGCACCGGCUAAAUACGUGCCAGCAGCCGCGGUAAUACGUAUGGUGCAAGCGUUAUCCGGAUUUACUGGGUGUAAAGGGAGCGCAGGCGGAAGGCUAAGUCUGAUGUGAAAGCCCGGGGCUCAACCCCGGUACUGCAUUGGAAACUGGUCAUCUAGAGUGUCGGAGGGGUAAGUGGAAUUCCUAGUGUAGCGGUGAAAUGCGUAGAUAUUAGGAGGAACACCAGUGGCGAAGGCGGCUUACUGGACGAUUACUGACGCUGAGGCUCGAAAGCGUGGGGAGCAAACAGGAUUAGAUACCCUGGUAGUCCACGCCGUAAAC
rnacentral:rRNA from 1 species